rnacentral:rRNA from 1 species
CCUACGGGGGGCAGCAGUGGGGAAUAUUGCGCAAUGGGCGAAAGCCUGACGCAGCGACGCCGCGUGAGGGAUGAAGGUCUUCGGAUCGUAAACCUCUGUCAGCAGGGAAGAACGGUCACUGUGCUAAUCAGCAGUGAAUUGACGGUACCUGCAAAGGAAGCACCGGCUAACUCCGUGCCAGCAGCCGCGGUAAUAAGGAGGGUGCGAGCGUUAAUCGGAAUUACUGGGCGUAAAGCGCUCGUAGGCGGUAUGUCAAUUCAAGUGUGAAAUCCCCGCGCUCAACGUGGGAACUGCCUUUGAAACUGGCAAACUGGAGUGUGUGAGAGGAUAGUGGAAUUCCAGGUGUAGGAGUGAAAGCCGUAGAUAUCUGGAGGAACAUCAGUGGCGAAGGCGACUAUCUGGCACAUAACUGACGCUGAGGAGCGAAAGCGUGGGUAGCAAACAGGAUUAGAUACCCUUGUAGUC